rnacentral:tRNA from 1 species
GAAGGCAGAGGUCAGCGGUAGAGCCCGUGCUUAGCAUGCAUGAGGUCCUGGGUUCAAUCCCCAGUACCUCCA